UAGUAACCUCUGGAAGAAUAUGGUGAAGUCAGCUAUGUUUUCUUUGUAGAUAGCAAGGUUACACAAACAUAAAGCAUGAGAAAUAAUUGCAUUUACCUCGAGUUACUGCCCUAAUGACCAGGCCAGAUGUUCAAUGCAAAAGAAUGACAGCUUGGGGAAAGAAAGAAGACUCUGCAUGGUAGGAGUGGCAGGGUAGUUGGGCAAAUAUUUUGGGAUCAUGGAGCCAAAAGUCAGUGAACUGAAGCCUAUUGUUUGAUGUAAUGAAGUUGCAUAUAGUUGGGCAUUUUUUGGCUUUUCCCUCUCAAGAAGGGGUAUCCUAGCAACUUUCUGAAAGGUAGAUUCUGACAACAUGCUGGUCUUUGUACUUCAAUGGUACCAGGAAAUCACCAAAUUAGAAGGGGCAAUGGUAGAUGCUGGCAGUGAAAAUGUUUGUUACCUUGGGUGUUUGGCUCCAAGAAUAUCUUUCUGCCCAUACUUUCUCCAACUGAAGCCAUCAUCUAGAGGCCCUUCAAGUCCCAUCCCAGGACAAACUUGAACGUGUUUUGUCCACCGUGGCAUAGUCUUCCUGCAACAGGGACUUCAGCGUGUUAGCAGCAAUAGGAAGUGAUAAUACAACAAAGUUUUGUGAAACAAAUUCUUAAAACAGCUGAAGUGAGAGCAACAGUUGAUUUGAUUACCUCUUCCUGGAGACGUCUCUGGAGUCCUGAUCCCUGAAUUCUCUAUCAGAAUCAUCACUGUGCGGACUUGCGCUCAAGGAUCUUGGGGAAUCAGACAUUCCAAUUGCCAACCCUGUAUUUUGGCGGGAGCGGGAUUCAGACAUUGCGAUGGUUGUCCCUGUACUUUGUUCCCUCUCUCCCACUCCGACAGCGGCAUUACUUUUGAGCAUGUUCAACGCCUUCUCGUAGGAGUUCAGUAUCUUGUGAACCAACGAGUCACGACUCUCGGGUGACGAAGAUGGGGCAUUGAUAUGAACCUGAAGCUGCUUAGCCAACUCCCUCCCUAGCAUUAGCUCAUUUAUCAGAUUCCCAAGCUCCCAAUCUGCUGAAUUCUCCAUCCUCAAAUUACAGAGAGAGAAGCACCAGUAUAGCUCUUUCUGGAAUGCUGUCCAAUAAGCAGAAGCGAGCUGUGCACGCUAAGAAAGGUUUUAAGUGUAUGUCAAGUCAAGCACCGCGCAGUGGUCGCGUAAACCAGUGUUUAAUGCCAGAACUUGCGCGAUUGCGGGCAAAAUGAACAUGCAAGAAAAGCUGGAAGCCUCUGAGUUGAGGAAAAUCGAUCUUUGCUUUUGAAAUCAUGCAAUCUGCGUCCGGAAGUUAGUAGCGGAAAGGAGCAACCAGGCAAGAAAGGAAUGCUCAAGUUAUUAUUUUUGCAAAUUUAUUUUGUUUUGCGGGAACCAACAGUGAUAGAAAGAGAGAGAAAAUUUAUGGGAUGCUGAUCAGAUUGUGCGCUCUAUCUUUUAAGGUGGCGAUUGUGAGUUCGAAGGUGUGGAAUGGAGGAGUCUGAGGUUUAUUCUAUAUAUACAUAUAUAUAUAUAUAUAUAUAUAUAUAUAUGUAUAUAUGCAUACGAGCUUUUUCGAAGAGGAAGGCGAUUGAGGAAAAGAGUAGUGUAGUAUAACAGAAGCAGAAUGGAAGAAUUGAAAAUUUGACCGAGGAAAGCGAGUGAUUUUUCUUCGUUCAAACAGCGGUCUUUGGUCAACCGUGAGAAUUGCGAAAGUGUUGUUGGGUUUAGGCCUUGUAAGGGCUUGGGAGCAUAAAUUCCAUGGGGAGCCCAAUUGCUGACUAAUUCAACAAAAACCUGAAAUACAUGCAUGCUCUAAUACAUGCAUUAGCCUGUCAUUCUACUUGCUGUUCGUGGUGGUACUCCAUUGCUUGUUGUACGGUGCCCAUUUUCUUCCACUUAAUUCAUUUCUUGGGGGGACUGAAUUAGGAUGGAUUCAAUGAUGAGGAGUAAAAGUUACCACGAUUCUUCAAUUGUAGGAACCGGGAAGUAGCGAGCCGAAGACCAGGAGGAAGAAACGAAAGAAGGGGAGUGUUUCCGCGGGGGGGACGACUGAGAAUUUUCAAUUUGAUUUCCGCGUUACUGCUUCUGCUGGUACCAUUCCCACCAUAUUAUGCCACAAAGCAACACAUUUUAGUUAGCAACUCUUGAGUAAAGAAGGCUUGAGGGCGAUGACGCGCAAUUGGCGUAAGACUCGAUCCCCCGGGCUUACGUUGAGGUUGACAGCUUGAGCCUUUUUUUUUCUUUUCUUCUUUUUAUUUGUUGGACCCUCUUUGUCUCGCUGUGCAUGUAUUUGAAGUUUAAUCAGGUCUCCAAAUACAAAUCAUGGACAAAACGUCAACUUGCAAGAAACUGUACAGAACCCAGAAUUAUGAACUUGCAAUAAAAUCCGGAUUUGUCAA